UAUGGUCAUAUCAUAUACAAACAUCAGCUUCCAUAAGAUCACCAAAGUUAAGCAGCAUCAAGCCUGGUCAGUACCUAGAUGGCUAACCUUUUGGGAAUACUAGGUGCUGUA